GUAGUAAAGCGUAGUAGAAUGUAUUUCUCUGUAGUAAAGCGUAUUUCUCUGUAGUAGAGUGUAGUAGCCUGUAGUAGCUUGUAGUAGAGUGUAGUAGCGUGUAGUAGAGCGUAGUAGAAUGUAUUUCUCUGUAGUAAAGCGUAUUUCUCUGUAGUAGAGUGUAGUAGCGUGUAGUAGAGCGUAGUAGCGUGUAGUAGAGCGUAGUAGAAUGUAUUUCUCUGUAGUAAAGCGUAUUUCUCUGUAGUAGAGUGUAGUAGCGUGUAGUAGAGCGUAGUAGCGUGUAGUAAAGCGUAGUAGAAUGUAUUUCUCUGUAGUAAAGCGUAUUUCUCUGUAGUAGAGUGUAGUAGCCUGUAGUAGCUUGUAGUAGAGUGUAGUAGCGUGUAGUAGAGCGUAGUAGAAUGUAUUUCUCUGUAGUAAAGCGUAUUUCUCUGUAGUAGAGUGUAGUAGCGUGUAGCAGAGUGUAGUAGCCUGUAGUAGCCUGUAGUAGAGCGUAGUAGAAUGUAUUUCUCUGUAGUAAAGCGUACUUCUCUGUAGUAGAGUGUAGUAACCUGUAGUAGAGCGUAGUAGAGCGUAUUUCUCUGUAGCAGAGUGUAGUAGCCUGUUAAGAAGCGCAGGGGUUUACAGCAGUUAAGCUUCAUACAAAUAGUUUCAAAAAAUAUUCUAACUUUUCAGUUAAAUUGAACUGGGGAAAACGGCGUUCAAGUGACUACCAUCGCCAUGAUGGUCUCGCACUAUAUACAAACGAAAAAUUAUCUGGACAUCUUCCCACAAAAGAUUCUUAUCAGUACAUCAAUUGUAGUUGGUAGAUAAACAAGCCAUGAUGGCCGAUUCGCCAGUGGUCAUCAUAAUAUCAGAGACAAAGAAACAAAUUUAGCAGACACGCCUAAAUAUUCAUUUUCAAUUUCACAUCUUGUGUUUUACUGCGCUUACCCAACGAGACAUGAUCAGUUUGUUUGAGUCUAACAGAAUACAUCACAAGUAAUGUAUGUUCCAAAUACCAUUAGUGAAGGCGAGUGAUCAGUAUUACGUAAGAGAUACGGUUGUUUCCGUAAAUUAGACCCUUGAUAAAAAUUUAAAAAAAAGCUCCUGUUUUAGAAGCAAUCCAUACAUCUCAGAUUCAGUUGUUUCGGUGGAUUGGGCCAUUGUUAAGCAUUCAGGAAAAAGCUCCUAUUUCUAGAAGCAAUCCAUAUAUCACAGAUGCGGUUAUUUCGGUAAAUUGAGCCAUUGAUAAACAUUCAGGAAAAAGAUCCUGUUUCUAGAAGCAAUCUGUACAUAAUAGAAUUACUUGUUUUGGUGAGCUAGGCCAUUGAUAAAAAUUCAGGAAAAUGGUCAUGUUUCUAGAAGCAAUCUAUACAUAACAGGUUCAGUUGUUUUGGUGAAUUGGGCCUUUCAUAACCUUUUAGAUAAUACUUUUUGACAUUCAAUUUUGGCCGGAAUAUAAAAUUUCAGAACAAAAGUUACCGAAUUUGGCGCUUGUCUAUGAUAAUAUCAGUUAAACGCUCCAUGUUUCUCUUGUUUCGUUCAAUUUUGACAAUAUAAAACGAAUUUUAGACCAAAAAUCACCGAAGUCGGCACUUGUCUAUGCCAUUAUCAAUUAAGCGCUCCAUGUUUCUCUCGUUUCGCUUAAUUUUGGCCGGAAAAUGAAAUGUGUCUAAGGUAUUGUCACAUAUACGAACUCUACUUGUCUUGUUUCGAUGAAUUAAGACCUGAAUACUUUUUUAUAUGCCGAUUAUCUCUUGGUUGAAAGAAACCUUUUUUUGUUUCACAACAUUAAAACUUGUUAACGUAUACCGGAACAAAGUUUUCGGCAAAUAUGUAUCACGCCGUCUUCGCUAAGGAUUAAUCUGUUAUGCUUUCGAAUAUAGAAGAAUCCGUUUUUUGUGAAACAAUUGUUAAUAUAUAUUGAACGAUUGUAGUUUAUAGUUGUAGAGUCUUGAUGAAAUCUAGUGGUGUUUGUGUAUUUCACAGACUAAAAGCUACUUUCUAAAAAUAUGCUCAUGCACUACGAAAGUCAAAACAAUUAGCAUCCGUGGCAUCACAGAAUGUUUCACAAAAAGAUUGCUACUUCUUUAUGAAUUGCUUUUUGUUAAUAUAGGAAGUUUUUUAUAUGAUUACUUCAAAAAUAAUAUGAUCAAGCUUGUGGUCAUCCUUUUUAAUAUAUUACAUAGGGAAUGAUAUUGAGACAUUCACUUUCCGUUUGAUAGCCCAUUGUGAUUGAUUUCAAUUUAUUUCCACAAAUGAGUAUGUAUAAUACAGUGUCACGUAUGAGGUGUGCUAGUUUUACGUAUAUUAUACGUCUUGUAUUAUUCUAAGAAGCAAUUAACUACUUGUUAAAAAGGGAAAAAUAUAUAUUCUACAAAUAGUUGAAAUAUAGUAUAGAGCUAUUA